UGGGGAAUAUUGCACAAUGGGGGGAACCCUGAUGCAGCGAUGCCGCGUGGAGGAAGAAGGUUUUCGGAUUGUAAACUCCUGUCUUAAAGGACGAUAAUGACGGUACUUUAGGAGGAAGCUCCGGCUAACUACGUGCCAGCAGCCGCGGUAAUACGUAGGGAGCGAGCGUUGUCCGGAAUUACUGGGUGUAAAGGGAGCGUAGGCGGGAAUGCAAGUCAGAUGUGAAAACUACGGGCUUAACCUGUAGACUGCAUUUGAAACUGCAAUUCUUGAGUGAAGUAGAGGUAAGCGGAAUUCCUGGUGUAGCGGUGAAAUGCGUAGAUAUCAGGAGGAACACCGGUGGCGAAGGCGGCUUACUGGGCUUUUACUGACGCUGAGGCUCGAAAGCGUGGGGAGCAAACAGG
rnacentral:rRNA from 1 species